rnacentral:misc_RNA from 1 species
UUUCCGUAGGUGAACCUGCGGAAGGAUCAUUAUUGUAUAACCGAGGUGCUAGGGCUGUCGCUGACCCGAAAGGUCGUGCACGCCCGAGUGCCCUCACACACAUCCAUCUCACCCCUAUGUGCACCACCGCGUGAGUCCCCCUUUGGCUUGUUCGGAGGGGGGCUUACGUUUUCACACAAACUUUGUAUGCAGUGUAGAAUGUAUUUUUUGUUUUUGCGAUCACGCAAUCAAUACAACUUUCAACAACGGAUCUCUUGGCUCUC